GAUGAAGAACGCAGCGAAAUGCGAUACGUAAUGUGAAUUGCAAAUUCAGUGAAUCAUCGAGUCUUUGAACGCACAUUGCGCCCCCUGGUACUCCGGGGGGCAUGCCUGUCCGAGCGUCAUUGCUGCCCUCAAGCACGGCUUGUGUGUUGGGCCCCGUCCUCCGAUCCCGGGGGACGGGCCCGAAAGGCAGCGGCGGCACCGCGUCCGGUCCUCGAGCGUAUGGGGCUUUGUCACCCGCUCUGUAGGCCCGGCCGGCGCUUGCCGAUCAACCCAAAUUUUUAUCCAGGUUGACCUCGGAUCAGGUAGGGAUACCCGCUGAACUUAAGCAUAUCAAUAAGCGGAGGA
rnacentral:misc_RNA from 1 species